UCCGAAGCCCUACAGACAGGGAAGGAAUGGCUAAACUCUGGUCUGUGCUGAUAGCUGAGGAGUGGCUAAUCGGCAGGUCCUCACUUCUAUCAUUCGGAUUACAGUCUGCUACUUUUCCAGAAGUAUUAUUUUCCAGAAGUAUUAUUCAACAUGCUAUGGCUUUUCCACCUAUGCCUUCAGAUGUUUGCAGCUUGCCGUGGGCUUUCUAAGAAUAUUGUGGAUGUGCCAUGAUUUUGAAGACUUAUUUGAUGCUAUAAAAUUUAUUGUUUUGGACUCAGGCUAUGUCCCUUAGGGGAAAAGGUAAUUGUGUAGUGUCUGGAGGCUGGCUCCUAAGCAGAACUCUUUUACCACAGGACUUCAUGUCACCGUAGUGACACUCAGACCUUGCUAAAACCACCUGGGACAACAUUCAGACUUAGAGGAUACACUGACCAGCCUCUAUUUCAUUGACUUAAUGGCGUCUCCCUUUUGUCAGCCUUGUACAGUUGUUGCUCCCAGCAGACAUAUGUCAAAGACAUAAUGACAAAAAAAAAAAAAAAAAAAAAAAAAAAAAAAAAAAAAAAAGGAGUGGACUCUAUUUCCUACUUGGAUCAUGAAUGAGCCUCCUACCAGGAAGCUUUCCCAGUAAAGAUACUGUCCCACCACCCCUAGAGGCAUGACUGACUCCAAGUUGCCCACAUUCUUGUGAAUUAACCUUUUUGUCACAAUAUGUUUCUCUAUGUCUGUUGGGUACUUCUGUUUUGUAUUCAAGGCUCUCUCCCCAUCCUUUACUUUGCCACACCUCUGAGUUCUCUCUCUGACAAUGAUAAGAACCUGAAAACACUGUAGAAGUUUCGGCCUCCCUGCUAUCUUCCUGCUCCCUUCAGCCAUCUUUUGUCUACUGCCCCAUCAUGAUACUCUGGAAACUAGUUCUGUGAAGCAGACUACCACUUCCUGAAUGGGAGUGCUGUUGCCACGUAAGUCAGGGAAAUGUAGGUACUUUACUUCCCUAUCUAUGUAAAUAAAGGCCAUUAACAUUUGAAAAGUAAAUUACCACAGAGUUGUUCAGAAAUGCUUGCCCACCAGAACAUGCCUGGGAGACGGAUUAUUCUGUUUUCACAUUUCUGUCUAGUGUUGGUCGAGGGCAGAGCUGGAUAAAAUUCCUUCCUUUUUAUCAGCUGUAAAGCAGAAAGGCUUUGAAGACUUUCCCAGCUGCUUUUCUGAGAAGUCCUUUUGGACACCCAGGACAUGCUGAGCAAAGAUGAGUAGCAGGGGCAGGGAUAAUAAUGGGAAUGGCAUAUUUGAGUGUCAUUGGGCCAACCUGGAUUGUCAAAGCAUCCUAUGUAAGGACCGAAGUGGGGAAGUGUAGUUUCCAGGGAGGCAGCUAACAGAGCCUGCAGGAGGCUUUCAAAAAGAAUUACUUUCACUGCCCUUGGACUGCUUGGCCCAUGUGACCACCAUUUCUCAUUUCAUUAAAGUCUUGACUGAUGCCUCCAUUCUUGUCACUUUCCUGCUCAAACCCAUUCAAUGCCUUCCCCUUUUAUUUAACUGCAUCCUGCCUCCUUGGUCACAGGUAAAAGGUUCUGUGUAUUUUUACAGCUUUGUCUCAUGCUUUGUUUCUUUCUAGUCCUGGCUUCUUUCUCCCUCUCUUUCUUUCUCUCUCUCUCUCUCUCUUGCACAUGUAUAUGUGUGCACAUGCGUACACACACACACACACACACACACACACACACACACAUGCAUACACACACACCUGGCAAAAUCUGUCUCUUGGAACUUUGUUUUCUGCCCAGGCAUCUUCCUACCUUUCAUGCUCCACGCCCAGUGCUAUUCAGGACCUCAGGAUCAGCCUCCUUGAACAAGCAAGGACUCUGGCUCUAGUGUUCAGAUAGGAUUUCCUGUCACGUAGUUUUGUCUUUACUUUGUGCUACUUCUACUUAAGCGGCAAAGUGUGAACUGUCCUUGUCUUUGAGUGCUCAGCACUUAAAAUAGAUUCUUACAUUUGGACUUGACAAUAUUUAUGGAGCGAAUGAAUGGAAGCUAUAAAGCUAUUGAUUAAAA